GGGUAUGAGCCUGAUCCGGCUGCGACACCAUCACCCUACUGACGCCUGGGUUGACUCAGCUGAUCUGUCUGGCUAGGCCGAGUCCCCUUCCUCCCGCACCUCUCCUGGUAUGCCCCCCAACGCAGCACCCUAGGUCAAAAGGGGACCAGCCCUGAUAGAGGACGUUUUCCCAUUCCGGGGUGUACGAGUAACUGUGCUCCCCCGCUAGAAACUCAAAACAAGCUCUCGAGUAAAUCUUCCCUGCUGAAGCUUGGGUGCUGGGUCCCAGCAAUGAGAACACGACAAGGUGCCAGCUCCU
rnacentral:snRNA from 1 species